rnacentral:lncRNA from 1 species
AAGUUUGCCUUCCAUCUUCUUUGACCUUUUUGUCAAGUGAAGGACUUCCUUCUUCAGCCGCUGGAUCGUCGCCUUCAGCGAAAUCCCCAGGGGCAGGGGAAGUGCUUCCGCAGGACACUGCCAUCGGAAGGCAAAAGCAUCAAGACAUGACUCAUCACAGAAAGAAAAGCAGAGAGAGAAGAAAGGGAGGAGGGAGAAGCCACCCACGACAAGAAACUCAACUUUAUUGAUUGGAUGAUUCUUGAAGAUAAAAAGGAAAAGAAAAAUUACGGUAAAAUAAAAAUACAAGGUCGGAGGUCUCAGACCUCAGGGGCAG